UGUAAGCACAUGCAUGACACGGGCCUCCUGCUUUCAGAGGUUGCAGCCCAGAUGCUGCAAUGGCAAGUUUCCUUGCUGUUAUAAGGCAGUAAAGGCCACUCAGUUGGCUUAGCAAUGAUUGCAGUGAGUCUUCAUAAAACAAAGAUGUUCAGUCCAGCUGGGGUGAUCAGAGAGAAACCUUUAUCGCUGAGGAAGGACUUGAAUCUACUCCUGGAAUUCGUCUUGCUGACAGGUAAUGAAGCCUUCGCAAUCUGCAAUCUUACCGCUGCUUCCAGAUACUAAAUCUUCGCUUGAAAGUAGAGUGAGACUGCUGGCAUGCUCGCUGAGAAUUCUCAAGCUAAGUGAAAAUGUCACACGUCUGUGCAUCUACACACACCCUUGGUACAUCUGGCCUCCUAGCUUGACUGUGUCCUGGUUAACCAAAGUUUUCCUGUAAGGGAUUUGAAUUGUGGCAAUGCUGAUAUUUUGCAACACAUGUCUUAUUGUUUUGGUUAUAGAAAAUAAGAUGCAUGAAUAAUAAAUUAAAGUGUAUAAUAAUAUAACUAAAUCACAUUUAUGUGAUGUUCUUUGUUUUGCAAAUUAAAGUGCACAAACAGCUGAA